UUUUAGCAUCCAAGGGAUGUCCUGCUCCAGGUCCUUCGCUGCUUGAUCCUAAAGUGCAAAAUCCAGGAGCUCCCAUGACGCCUCCUGUUUCCUGGCAGAGCUGGAGCUAGUGCUGAGGGAGGCCAGGUGCCCAACUUGGCUCACGCCUCUCGGACUGGACCGCGGAUGCUUGUCAGCAAACCUGCCCGUUUGGUUGGCAGUUGGCAAAGGAGCUGGUGCCCAGGGGAUAUGCACCAGCAUUGGGCAGAGGGAGACCGACCCAGCAGCAAAGCAGAGCUUCCCAGCCUGUAUCGAAGAGAAGGCACACAGGCUACAGGUGUGGCACUUUAGGACACUGAUGGGCCAGUAAUCAGGCUGCUCAAGGUCCUGUGGGCUGCAGGACGAGGAGUGUUUCCUGUGGCUCCAUGGAUAGGAGCGCGAGCUGAGUCACGUUUGUCUUCCUCUCCUCCACUCUAUUCACCACUGCCUGUGGCAGAGAGGUACCCAUCAAGAUGCGGAAGGGGACAUGGCCCGGUGCCGAGGAAGCUCAACCCCGAGAACCAAAAUGAGGAGAUGGUUUUAUCUACAGUGUUCCAAAGCAACCAGAGGAUCCACUCCUGGAAUCGGGGAAUAAUUCGUGGAAUGACAAUGAAUUGCUUUUUGUUUGCAUUACUUCCCUUGCUAAUUCUGCUGACUGACCAGGUGUGUAGGAACAGACUGACUGUUACUAUGUGUAUGGGACAACCUAAGAGUUCUGGAAUUCAGGUUUUAAUGCUGCAAAA